GGGGCUGAUUCUGGAUUCGACGGGAUUCGCGAAACCCAAGGUGCAUGCCGAGGGGCGGUUUGCCUCGUUAAAAGCCGCAAAAAAAUAGUCGCAAACGACGAAAACUACGCUUUAGCAGCUUAAUAAC
rnacentral:tmRNA from 1 species